UCCCCCGUGGUGUAAUCGGCAACACUGCUCACUUUGGAUGAGUUAUUCCAGGUUCGAGUCCUGGCGGGGGAGCAA
rnacentral:tRNA from 1 species